CUUUGAUAUUGAAUGCAUUCAUAACGUCAUGUUCUUUUUCUGAAAGAGGGCCCUCAACAUUGCAUAACAUUUGGGGCCCACAAAACUUAGAUCUGCCCUUCAUGGUCAUAUUGGGCCCUUUCAAUAUGUUUUUAUCAGCCUGUCAUCUGAGAAGCAUGUAGCUGGGGUGUUGUUCUGGACUAAUUAUUACUAGUGCUCCUUUUCAUUUUCAAAAGUGUUGGCAAACAUGUUGGCCCAUGCCUGUAAUCUCAGUUCUUUGGGAGGCCAAGGUGGAGAAUUGCUCGAAGCCAGGAGUUCAAGACCAGCCUGGACAAUAUGACAAGACCUCAUCUCUUAAAAAAAAAUUAGCCAGGCCUUCAGACCUGGAUUGAGAUCUACACCAUCAACUCUGGCUCUUAGGCCCUCAAACUACACCAUCACUUUCCUGAGUCUCCGGUUUGCAGACAGCAGUUGAACUACGUGUCUUCUGAUCAGUGGUGAAUGAAAGAAAAAAAGUGAACUACAAACUUAAAGAUUAGGUGUGUGAAUUCUGGCAUAGAUGAUGACUAGGAAGAAGGGAGUUGAUAUGAAAAGGAAAAGGAAGAAGAGAAGAGACACAGAUAAGGGGAGAGAUUUGGGAUGAGCAGGAAGAUUAAAUAUGAUUGACGAGUACAAUACAGAGCUGAUAAUGAAUUUGAGAAUAAAAACCUUUUUGCCUACUCAAAAUCUCAUGGCUGAGCUCCACCACACCACCUCAGAUCUUUUCCAAGGAAUUAGUCUUAUUAGCAAAGUGAACAGUGUGUGAAAUG